GAUGAAGAACGCAGCGAAAUGCGAUAAGUAAUGUGAAUUGCAGAAUUCAGUGAAUCAUCGAAUCUUUGAACGCACAUUGCGCCCAUUAGUAUUCUAGUGGGCAUGCCUGUUCGAGCGUCAUUACAACCCUCAGGCCCCCGGGCCUGGCGUUGGGGAUCGGCGGAGCCCCCCGUGGGCACACGCCGUCCCCCAAAUGCAGUGGCGGUCCCGCCGCAGCUUCCAUCGCGUAGUAGCUAACACCUCGCGACUGGAGAGCGGCGCGGCCACGCCGUAAAACACCCAACUCUUCUGAAGUUGACCUCGAAUCAGGUAGGAAUACCCGCUGAACUUAAGCAUAUCAAUAAGCGGAGGA
rnacentral:misc_RNA from 1 species